UAUUGCACAAUGGGCGCAAGCCUGAUGCAGCCAUGCCGCGUGUGUGAAGAAGGCCUUCGGGUUGUAAAGCACUUUCAGUCAGGAGGAAAGGUUAGUAGUUAAUACCUGCUAGCUGUGACGUUACUGACAGAAGAAGCACCGGCUAACUCCGUGCCAGCAGCCGCGGUAAUACGGAGGGUGCGAGCGUUAAUCGGAAUUACUGGGCGUAAAGCGUACGCAGGCGGUUUGUUAAGCGAGAUGUGAAAGCCCCGGGCUCAACCUGGGAACUGCAUUUCGAACUGGCAAACUAGAGUGUGAUAGAGGGUGGUAGAAUUUCAGGUGUAGCGGUGAAAUGCGUAGAGAUUUGAAGGAAUACCGAUGGCGAAGGCAGCCACCUGGAUCAACACUGACGCUCAUUACGAAG
rnacentral:rRNA from 1 species